CGUAGUCCGGAUUGCAGUCUGCAACUCGACUGCAUGAAGUCGGAAUCGCUAGUAAUCGCGGAUCAGCAUGCCGCGGUGAAUACGUUCCCGGGUCUUGUACACACCGCCCGUCAAACAAUGGGAGUGGUGUUUACCAGAAGUCGUUAGCCUAACCGCAAGGAGGGCGGCGACCACGGUGAGCACCGUGACUAAUGUUAAGUCGUAACAAGGUACC
rnacentral:rRNA from 1 species